rnacentral:lncRNA from 1 species
GUUUUAGUCAGCAUUUACUGAAAGAAGAGACCACUGCGAAACAUCUGAGAUUUACAAGGAGAAAUUUAUUUCCUGCUCACACUGCUAUGGCUCAGCUAGGCUCUGCUGAACUUCAUGUGUCUUCUCAUUCAAGAACCAAUACCCAUGUCACCUCACCUGAUGUUAUGAAAAGUGACAUCAUCUUCUCUUCAGCCUCCAGUGCUAUUUUCAGUUGAACACAACUGAUAUUCCAGCCCUCAGUGGAUUGGAUGAUACCCACCUACAC